rnacentral:lncRNA from 1 species
CUCACCUUUCAGAAUAUAAAGAAAAAGCAAUCACAUUCCAACACUUCUGAAAAAGGAGAUGAUUUUUUCUUGAAACCACAUUAAGAGUAUGUCCUUCAAAAACAUAGCAAUAUAACAAGAAAAUGGCCAUCUUCCAAGCAUAAGUUAAGGAUAAAGUAACUUGAGGCUGGUUCGUGAUUAAGAUGACCAAGAUCUGAAAAAACAACAGGGAGUCAAAAGGAAAAGACUUUGUUUGGCAUUUCUUAUCUAAUUCAUUUUGUUUUACUUGAAGACUCAGACACAAUCAAGUGAGUAGAAAAUAAAGUAAAUUUUGUGGAGCUAAGCAAUACAAUCAAAACUAGGGCAGAGCAUGAAGCUGAGCCCAGAUGUGUAAGAGGGUGAGAAUUAGGACAUUAGCCAAGCUCAGACCUUUGGAUGGAGCUGAGUCUCUAAGUACAGUCAAGUGGUCCCAGCAAUACUAAGGGGAAAAGUGCUAGAGCUGUGAUUACCUAAGAAAGUUACAUUCAACCUGCAUCGAAAGCCCUUUAACUUUGAGUAAGGAGUUGUACAGGGUAAGUUCAAAGAUCCUUUCACACAUAUAAAGUACCUAUAAACAAUAAAUAAUGUCUUAUUUCCUCUAAAACACAACUCUAGAUCUGGAAGGUUGUUAAAUUUGAUCAUUUAUGAUUAGGUAUGUAUACUGUCUUUGUACAUGUAGCAACCCUGUUUGACAAGAGAAAAGACACAGCACUAUCAUUGAGAUUUCAUGGAUCCAAUCUACCCGUAACAGAUGCCUGUCUGUAUGGCAGAAAUGGUGCCCCAAAAAUGAGGUCUCAUCAUGUCUAGUAAAUGUGAGCGGAUGGACAAAAUGAAAUGAUCUUUCAUCUCUGAAAUUAUGCUACUGCUUAAGCCACAUAAAAUUGGUUUUUAAAUUCUAAAAUGUGGGGAUCUCACACAAUAUGACAUUGUUUAUUCCCGUCCACCUUUCUUACUCUUCCUGAAGUGCUAACACUAUGCCAUGGAAGAAGAUAAUUGCGUAUCUUUUAGUAUCUCCUAAUAUCCUGUAUAAGCUUUUUUUCCCAAG